CCUACGGGCGGCAGCAGUGGGGAAUAUUGCACAAUGGGCGCAAGCCUGAUGCAGCCAUGCCGCGUGUGUGAAGAAGGCCUUCGGGUUGUAAAGCACUUUCAGCGGGGAGGAAGGCGGUGAGGUUAAUAACCUCAUCGAUUGACGUUACCCGCAGAAGAAGCACCGGCUAACUCCGUGCCAGCAGCCGCGGUAAUACGGAGGGUGCAAGCGUUAAUCGGAAUUACUGGGCGUAAAGCGCACGCAGGCGGUCUGUCAAGUCGGAUGUGAAAUCCCCGGGCUCAACCUGGGAACCGCAUUCGAAACGGGCAGGCUAGAGUCUUGUAGAGGGGGGGAGAAUUCCAGGUGUAGCGGUGAAAUGCGUAGAGAUCUGGAGGAAUACCGGUGGCGAAGGCGGCCCCCUGGACAAAGACUGACGCUCAGGUGCGAAAGCGUGGGGAGCAAACAGGAUUAGAUACCCAGUAGUC
rnacentral:rRNA from 1 species